UCUUUUUGUUCCUGUGCAGUUCAGUAGGGCUGAUCCUUAGUCGUGGGAUGAUAGCCCGGCAUAUUUUAGCUCAGUGUUCAAAUACAGACGCCCUUCUUUGGAGGGCUGGACAAGGGUCGUGGAAUGUGCGUAAUCACAUGUGCCUCGCCCUGUUGCUCUGUUGUGUUCCCAGUAUCAGAAUAAAAACAGAAAGAAAGAAAAGGAGGAGUAGAGAUGAUAGCUUGAUCAGUUUACAAGUGAGGACCAGCCUGUGGUGGACCAACAAGAAAUGAAAACAACCUGUAAAGAAGGCACUUUUCUUUCAAAUAUAUAUGAGAGGAAUUAUCUGUAUUUAUAUGUGUGUAUAUACAUAUCUAUGUAUAUAAAUGGCAUGGGCAAUGGAAUCCAGGAAGAACUGAGGUUCAAGAAUGGAAGAGAUGGAACAGAGCAAAGAGGAUUUUCAUAGAGUCUUCAGAUAACAUGGUGAGAACAUAAAUGCAUUUGCUUUUAUGGGAAAUCAGAGGGAGUAAAUUUGGGUGACCUGGAAAGAUGAACGAGUAGCUGAGACAAAAGGAGGUAGUGCCUUGGAAGUGUAGCCACAACAGGGUGGUCAGCUAUGGAGAUGGUUUUCAUUUAAUGGCUUCACUGAGAAACUUACCAGUGUAUGUUUGGCUUGAUGUUGACUGGGCAUUCAUAACUGAUCGAUCUCUUGGAAAGUUAUUGUUGAUGCUGGAUGCCUAGGUUUUACAAAAAAUUAAUAUGGUUUUGAGAAGGCUAUUUUGUCUCUUUUACCAACUUUGGAAAAUACAUGUUGCUGGAAAGAGGAAAAAUCUAUUUUUCUGCAUCAGACAUAUAGAUCAGAAGAGGUUUCUUUUAAUGUACUGUGAUAAAGCAUAGACAAAUGAAGAUGAACAACAGGAAGAAAAGCAAAGAAUCAACCAAAAGUUAAGAAACAGAACCAAAGGUCUGCCUUAAAAGGAAAAGAAGAAGAAGAAGAAGAGUCAGUGAAAGGACAAGAAUUAGUACACAAAGCAGGUUUGGAAAAAAGGGUCUACAGAAAUCUUAGGAUCUCUGUCAUGCAUUUGUAUGGCACAGAUGAUCAGGAUUUAAACAUCAGUCUUGCCUGUUAGCCAUUUCAGAAGCAGAGAAUCCCUUAGGACAUGAAAACAGCAAUAGAGGAAAGAAUCCCUAAAAUUCAGUAUAUUUGUAUUAGAAAAAGUGAGUAUGGAGGAUCAGAGAUUAAAUGAUAACUUAAUACAUUGCAUAACAACUUAGUAAAUUGUUUGUCUACAU
rnacentral:lncRNA from 1 species